GCAGCGGGGAUCCAGGUGCACCUGCCCCUGGGAGCACAGGUUCGGUCCCCGCCCCCAGGAGCUCUCAGCACACACCUGAGGGGGGGAGGAGGCUCGCGCGUGCGUGCUCUCUGCCACCUCCAUCGUCCACUCCCGUUCGGCUCCGGACCCGGCUGGGGAGCGAGACCUGCACCUGAGCCGCCCGCGCAGCCACCCCUUUCUCUCUCCUCGCCUCCCCUGCAUUCGGGGACCGCAGCGGCAGCUCUGGUUCCCAGGUGAGAGCCGGGGCCACGCUGGGUGUGGGCCUGCGCGUUCCAUGGCGGGCGCCUGCGGGUCCAGGGACUGCGCUCUGGCCGCGCGAAGCCCUGCGCAGUUUCCGCUCUGACUGAGAGCGGCAGCUACGCGUUUGAGUAGCAGUGCCCAGAGGAAGGGCAGGGCCAUCGCUGGCUCGGGACCCCCGCAGAUACCAAACCCGAGGCCGCUCAGAUCCCUGCUUGGAGACUGAUUGGAAAGUGCUGAGUACGGGGCCUGAUAAAACAGCCGCCUCUGACGUCAUUCUGAGUUCUGACGUCACAUGUUUCUCCCUCCAAAAUUCCUAGCUGUGACGUCCUUUCUUUGGAACCUGGCUUUUUCGAGCUCCAGAGGUGGGCGCGGAGGGUCCCUGUAGGCCCCUCCCCCAACGCCCACCUUGGUCUGCGGGGGCCCAUCGAGGCCUCGUGCGCCCUGCGGGUGUGGACGGAUACUUGGUGGCGUCCGUGCGCUGCCCGGCUCAGCCCUCCGGCUCCCCGCGCUCUCGCGGCCGCUGCCGCCUUUCCGCUUCGGUGUCUGGAGGGACCCCGCGUCCACCGCUCGCCGCUGAGGACCGGCGCGGCUGCUUCCAAGGCUGCAGGGCUGAGAACGUCUGUGCCCUGAUGCACUCGCCCGUGGACGUGCCGUGGCCAUGACGGGAGACACGUGUGACCCAGGCCCCUGGCGCGGCACGGCUGGGUUCCGAGGACACUGCACGUGCACCGUGACAGAUCCCAUCCCCCAGCGCCCGUGUGGUCUUCCUGCCUGAAACCCUCAUCAGGAACCGAAUGGCGGGAAAGCAGAUGGAGCCCCGUACACCCAGUGCAAGCCAGAGUGUAAGUGAGUGGCUGCCAAAGAGCCCUGACCACUGCACACGGCACAGGCCCCCGGCUGGGCCAGCAUCCUUAAGCCACCGAGUCGCCCGGGUACAGGUGGGUUAGGUGAGAUUCUGCGUGGACGGUGGGCAGCUUCUCAGGACUGCAAGGGACUCCCGUCUGAGGCUUCCAAGGGAACACAGCGGGGGGUGGGGGGGAGAGACAGAGACAUCUUCCACCCGCUGCUUCACUCCCCAAGUGCCCACAGCAGCCACGGCUGGGCCAGGCCAAACCAGGAACCCAGAACUCCAUCUGAAUCUCCCAUGCGGGUGCCAGGGGCCCAGGCACUCGGGCCACCUUCCGCCGCCUUCCCAGGUGUAUCGGCAGAGAGCUGGAUCAGAAGCAGAGCGACUGGCACUCUGAUGCAGGACACAGGGGUCCCAAGCGGCAGCUUAACCCUCAGUGCCACGACGCCUGCCCCCAGCGACCAUGUCUUAACCUUUACAACUACCCCCAUUUUCCAGAGGUGGAAACUGAGGCUCUGGGUGGAGAAACGACCAGCCCAGGUCGUCCAGCCAGCACAGGCACGAGGCAGGAGCCACGCCGGGCCCCGCGGUGUCCCUGCAGGUCCCAGCCAGGGGCUCCGGAUAAUCAGGGGACGCCCUCCUCCUCCCCCCGGCCGCCGGAGCCCUGGGCAUUGCAGCGCUGAUCCCCUGUGGGUUGUGGGAACUCGAAUCAAAGGCGGCUCUGUAGUCAGAGGAGGCCCCUGGGCUUUGCUCCAGCCCAAGAACUUUCUAUCAAGCAGUCGGAUUUGUGCGAAUAAAAAACAAGUGUCGUUUUACAGCACUGUCCGUAAAUCUGUUAGUGACCUUUAAUAAAAACUUAUGACCCCAAAAAUCUCGUUCCGCAGCGCCGGGCAGGUCACUGCCCAGCGGCCAGCAGUCCGCAGAGCUCUGACACACAGUGACUGCGCCCUGGGCCCGCGCCAGGCGGCCACUCUCGGGGACUGAGGACGGCACGAGGGGCAAUGAAGCCACAUGGCCUGGGCCGCGGGGGAAGCCGAGCUGUGGACACGGCCGCUGGGCUGCCGAUCCCAGAAGGCGCAGGAGAUGGAAGACACCUGGGCUUCCCGGAGCCCGCUCCAGCCGCCCUCAGCCAGACCCCGCUGCACCUGCCCGGCCUUCCUUGUUCCUUUCUUCAGCUGUCGUGCUAGACCCAGCGCAGGAGCCUCUCCCAGCCCCGUGGUUUUGUGUGCACCUUGCUUCCAGGGUCGCAGGCUGGGGUGCCCGCCAGGCAGGGGAGCGCGGGGACUGAGCUGUGUUUGGCGUGGUGUAUGUGUUCACGGUGCUCUGUUGGCAGAGCCCAGCUGCGUGGCUCUCACUGGGGAAGGUGCGUGACCGGCAGGCACCCCCAGGAAGGCUGCCGGCCCCCAGCACCUUGCGGGAGCGGUGCUUGGCUGCCUCGCGUGAUCAGAGUGGUUUGCUGUGAGGCGUUCUGGCCUGCACACGUGGGCAUCUGCAUAAAUCUUACCCUGGGCCUACCGCACAAGAUACAGGUUGGUUUUCCCCAUGGGAAUUCAUGAAAACGUGCAUCCUGGCACCUUUAGGGAGGUAGGCUUUCCUGCAGGGGAGGGGGCUCCCCUGAGGCCCGCCGGGCCUUUGGGGCUGUCUUUGCUAACUUCAACCCCCUGCUCCACCAGCAGCUUCCGGGUGUGAAGAAGGGAGGCUUGGAACUCCUCAGGCAUCCUCCCCCGCCCCCAGCCCUGCCCCUCCGGGGGAGGGAAGCAGGGGUCCCAGAAUCCCAGGCCGUGCAAACAAGAAGCCACCUCAGACAGCCGCAUCCCCAGUGCGGAGGCCGGAGGCCCUGGGCGGCUGCGUCAGCACCACGUGGGGACUUCCUGUAAAAGCAGAAUCUCGGGGCCCCCGUAGCUGACCGCCAGACCUGGCUGCCCCGCACAGAAGGCCAUCCUGGGAGCUGGGAUUUCAGGCUGAAGCUGUGGUCGGGAGCAGGCCCGCUGAGCCCAAGGGAUCCGUGUGUGGCGGCUUCAGAAACGCAGGCUCUGAGAAGGCCCCACCUUGGAGCCUUGCACACAUCGGAUGCACUCUUUCCCUACCUUGGGGCAGCCGGUGCUGCUCGGGCGCCCGCGGUGAUGGGGAAGCCCCCGUCUCGUGUGGCACCGUGUCCAUUCUUUCUGGCUGCAGCUGCUGCCCAGUGAUGGGAGCUGAGCCCUGUGGAGCAGCCUGCAGAGUCCAGGCCUUCUCCACGCAGGAGUCCUCGCGUGAUCUCAGAGCUAACGUCGACACUGACCUCCCACGGCCCAACACCCCCACCCCCCGCAACACCUGCCACCCUCAAACUGCCGUCUGUCGUUCCCUGCGAGUGACAGCUGCCUGUCAGUGUCGCUCGGAAAGGAGGGGGUCAAAUAUCACACUGCAGCCAAGAGGGGCGCUCGGCUGGGUAGUCCGCGGCUUCUAAGGCAGCCUCAUUUCCAUUUGGGUUCCUUCAACUGAUCAAAGCAGCUGUGUCUCGCUGCCGACUCCGACUAACCCUCCACAGAGCUUUCUUGGGUAAACCGCAGCCGGCAGGCCCCCACGGAUCUGUACUUCAUGUCCCCAGCCCCCAUGACUUUGAUCCACUCUUGAAUCUCAUUUUCUCUCUGGCUCAUCCCGGGCUUGCUGCUGUUGGGCUAAUUUGGCUCCCAAGUCUGCUCACCCAUGAGUCGGCCUCUCCCAGCCUGCGGGGAGAAUCCAGCAAGGACGUGCUGGGCGUCCCGGGGCGUAGCCACAGGGCAGCGGGGGUGGCAGACUUGUGCCCCUGGCAGGGCUGGGAAGUGCAGGUGCACCUCCAGGACUCGGGCUUGUGCUCAGAGCCAGGCCAGGAUCUCAAGGCACUGCCUGGGAAUACGGCACCUGGGCCUGCUCUG